AAUGAACGCUGGCGGCAUGCCUUACACAUGCAAGUCGAACGGCAGCAUGACCUAGCUUGCUAGGUUGAUGGCGAGUGGCGAACGGGUGAGUAAUGCAUCGGAACGUGCCUUUUAGUGGGGGAUAACGUAGCGAAAGUUACGCUAAUACCGCAUAUUCUCUGAGGAGGAAAGCAGGGGACCUUCGGGCCUUGCGCUAGAAGAGCGGCCGAUGUCGGAUUAGCUAGUUGGUGAGGUAAAGGCUCACCAAGGCAACGAUCCGUAGCGGGUCUGAGAGGAUGAUCCGCCACACUGGGACUGAGACACGGCCCAGACUCCUACGGGAGGCAGCAGUGGGGAAUUUUGGACAAUGGGCGCAAGCCUGAUCCAGCCAUGCCGCGUGAGUGAAGAAGGCCUUCGGGUUGUAAAGCUCUUUCGGCUGGGAAGAAAUCGCACCCUCUAAUACAGGGUGUGGAUGACGGUACCAGCAUAAGAGGCACCGGCUAACUACGUG
rnacentral:rRNA from 1 species